rnacentral:lncRNA from 1 species
UUUUUUUGAAGUUAGAAAAUUAAGUUAUAUUUUUAUGAUAGAUUUUUAAGUAUGAUUGUUAAGUUAGAUUUUUAAGUUAUAUUUUUAAGUUAGAUUUUUUAGUUAGAUUGUUAAGUUAGAUUUUUAAGUUAUAUUUUUAAGUUAGAUUUUUAAGUUAGAUUUUUUUUAAGUUAGAUUUUUUUAAAGUUAUAUUUUUGUAUAUGUGUCCCCUCCGCCGUCCUGCCGCCGUGACCGCCGCCGUCACAACCUAGUAGGCACCGCCCGCUGUUCCGGGGAACCAUCCCCACCUCCGCUGUACCGCCGCCCUGACCGCCGCCGUCACAACCUAGGCACCGCCCGUGGUUCCAGGGAACCGUCCCCGCCUCCACCGCCCUGAUCGCCGCCGUCACAACCUAGGCACCGCAUGUGGUUAUUGCUAGAAAUUCGUAGAAAUUCGUAGAAAUUUGUAUAAAUAUUCCGGACUUUGUAGGAUUCAUGUUAUUUUAUGAUUUCAUUAUAUACAUGUAUGAUUCCGGACUUUGUAGGACUUUGUAGAAAUUUGUAGUAAGACGAUUUCUAUGACUGUCAUGUAUGAUUCCAUGUAUGUUUCCA